GACUAGCUACUGAAUCAAUUAUAAUAAUUGAUAACAUAAGGGAAAAUAAUGAUAUUACCUUAUUAUUAGUGUCGUCCAAAUCUGGUGCCAGAAGACUCGGUAAGGCCAGAGACACGAACGUUAAUCGUCUUAAUCAGGCGUAAAGGGUUUGUAGGCGGCUUUUAAUAUUAAAAAAAACAAAAAUAAGUAAAGAAUAAAAGCUAGAAUCAAAUAGAGGAUAAAUCAAAUAAUGCUUAGAGUAGGUCUGAUAUCCUUAGAUACUAAGUAGAAUAUUAAAGGCGAAAGCUUUUUUCCAUUAAUGAUUGACGCUCAGAAACGAAGGUGAGGAUAGGAAAUAGGAUUAGAUACCCAAAAUACCCCUCUCUGUCAACGAUGAAUGGUAGUUAUUAGUAAUAAAUUUAUUAAUGGCAAUGUUAACACGAUAACCAUUCCGCCUUGUGAGUACAACUGCAAAGUUGAAAACAAAAAAAUUAGUCGGUUUCGGAGCAAACGAAGUGAAGCAUGUUAUUUAAUU
rnacentral:rRNA from 1 species